rnacentral:rRNA from 1 species
CAGUCGCCGCGGUAAAACGUAGGUGGCAAGCGUUGUCCGGAAUUAUUGGGCGUAAAGGGCUCGCAGGCGGUUUCUUAAGUCUGAUGUGAAAGCCCCCGGCUCAACCGGGGAGGGUCAUUGGAAGCUGGGAAACUUGAGUGCAGAAGAGGAGAGUGGAAUUCCACGUGUAGCGGUGAAAUGCGUAGAGAUGUGGAGGAACACCAGUGGCGAAGGCGACUUUCCGGUCUGUAACUGACGCUGAGGAGCGAAAGCGUGGGGAGCGAACAGAAUUAGAUACCCCCGUAGUCCCUGUCUCUUAUAC